rnacentral:rRNA from 1 species
AUUGAACGCUGGCGGCAGGCCUAACACAUGCAAGUCGAACGAGUGGCGGACGGGUGAGUAAUUUCUGGGAAACUGCCCGAUGGAGGGGGCUAACUACUGGAAAAGGUAGCUAAUACCGCAUACCAUCGGAUUUGCCCAGAUGGGAUGAGCUAGUAGGUGGGGUAACGGCCUACCUAGGCGACGGUCCCUAGCUGGUCUGAGAGGAUGACCAGCCACACUGAAACGGAGACCCGGUCCAGCAUCGUACGGGAGGCAGCAGUGGGGAAUAUUGGACAAUGGGGACAAGCCUGAUGCAGCCAAUCCGGGUGUAUGAAGAGGGCCUUCGGGUUGUAAAGUACUUUCAGCGAGGAGGCGUUACUCGCAGAAGAAGCACCGGCUAACUCCGUGCCAGCCGCCGCGGUAAUAC